UAUUUGUUUCCCUUCCUUCUCCGGAUGAACGCUGGCGGCGUGCCUAAUACAUGCAAGUCGAGCGAACGGACGAGAAGCUUGCUUCUCUGAUGUUAGCGGCGGACGGGUGAGUAACACGUGGAUAACCUACCUAUAAGACUGGGAUAACUUCGGGAAACCGGAGCUAAUACCGGAUAAUAUUUUGAACCGCAUGGUUCAAAAGUGAAAGACGGUCUUGCUGUCACUUAUAGAUGGAUCCGCGCUGCAUUAGCUAGUUGGUAAGGUAACGGCUUACCAAGGCAACGAUGCAUAGCCGACCUGAGAGGGUGAUCGGCCACACUGGAACUGAGACACGGUCCAGACUCCUACGGGAGGCAGCAGUAGGGAAUCUUCCGCAAUGGGCGAAAGCCUGACGGAGCAACGCCGCGUGAGUGAUGAAGGUCUUCGGAUCGUAAAACUCUGUUAUUAGGGAAGAACAUAUGUGUAAGUAACUGUGCACAUCUUGACGGUACCUAAUCAGAAAGCCACGGCUAACUACGUGCCAGCAGCCGCGGUAAUACGUAGGUGGCAAGCGUUAUCCGGAAUUAUUGGGCGUAAAGCGCGCGUAGGCGGUUUUUUAAGUCUGAUGUGAAAGCCCACGGCUCAACCGUGGAGGGUCAUUGGAAACUGGAAAACUUGAGUGCAGAAGAGGAAAGUGGAAUUCCAUGUGUAGCGGUGAAAUGCGCAGAGAUAUGGAGGAACACCAGUGGCGAAGGCGACUUUCUGGUCUGUAACUGACGCUGAUGUGCGAAAGCGUGGGGAUCAAACAGGAUUAGAUACCCUGGUAGUCCACGCCGUAAACGAUGAGUGCUAAGUGUUAGGGGGUUUCCGCCCCUUAGUGCUGCAGCUAACGCAUUAAGCACUCCGCCUG
rnacentral:rRNA from 1 species